CUAGACCCUAAGCCGAGAUAUCCCCUAGAAUGGGAUAUCCCAAGCUGGGAUAUUCCUAGAAUGGGAUAUCCCUGAUUGGAAUAACAAUGUCAGAUAGCCCGGUCCAGACACGUUCAAAAUCUGAACCGGAUACCAAAACAACUGAACCGUGCACAAAAAAUACUGAACCGGGACGGUAUAUGAUUGGGAUAAUCUUGGAAUAGUUUAUCCCAAAACGGGAUAUGACGGGGAUAUCCCCAGAGCAGAAUAAGAAUGAAAAUAAAUUCAGUGCUUAUUUAAAAAAUUUGAAUCGUAUUACUCUCUGUUUCAAGUAAUUAAAACGUUGAAAUUUUGGAACAUUGCAAUAAUUGUUCUUGUUAUUAUAAACUCUAAAUAAUUGUUCUCUAAUUAUCGAUCAUAGCAAUUUUUGUACAAAAUAUAAAUAAAUAAAUAAAUCUUAUGAAAUUUAUCAUCUUCUAAAAAUAUGAAACUUUAAAAGAAAACUGACUGUGAGAUCAAAAAAGGCAAAUAUACUGCGAAAGAAAACAACACAUGUUUAACAUCUUCUAAUGCAACACAAUAACCACUCGUUCUGGUGAGCAUUGAGAGAAGAUUAGACUUGCCUACUCCCGAAAAAACGAUCAACACCACCUUGACAAGUAGUAAUCCUCUGCCCUGUACCCAGCCGUUUUACUUUCUUUCGAGUGAUGAAUAAAUAUAUCUGAAACAAAAAACAGGGAUGAAAUGACAAAGACAAAGGAUUUAUAAAACAGAAAACAAAAUAUCAUAAAGAAACCCACUGAAAUGCAUGUAAUAAAGAAUAGAUCUGAAACUAAAACGAAAUGAAAAUGCAAAGACAAAGACAAAGUAGAAGUAAUGAUUCAUGCAAAGCAAAAAAAAAAGAGAAAAAAAAAUUCAAAAGAGACCGAGAGAGAGACAGAGAAUCACCGAACAAAUGGAGGCACCAAUGGAUUUUGAUCGGAGGUAAGAAUCUGAAAGGUGUGGAGGCUGCGGCAGGGCCUAGGGUUUCUUAUGAACGGACAAUAAAGGAGGAAGAGAGAAGAAGGAAAACAGAAGAGAGAAUGAAAAUAUCAGAAAAAAAAGAAAACGAAAAAAAAAGGAGAUAAUAAAGGGGAAGAGAAAUCUGAGAGAGAUGCAUAAAGAAAUAUAGAGUUUUUUUGGAAAAAUAGUCAACAGAUUAAUUCUUUUUGGAAAAUGGGAAAGAACGCGAUGUGAAAAGAUAGCAGAGAAAAACGGGCAGCCUGACUACAAAUCCCACGGCUUCUUUUCAUUUAUUAUUCCUGUUCUUUUUUAAAACAGCUUCUUUUCAUUUUUAGUCAAACGGGGCCAAAUUAAGUCAUAACUUUUCUUGGUCCUAUAAUUCAAAUUGGGGAAAUUGGGGGAAAAGAUAUCAAAAGGAUCUAAAAUAUUAACCUCCAUUUUAGGACUUAAGGGUAAAAAGCUUAUAAAAAUGCUCUUAAAUUUAGUUAAGCAAAUAUUUUUCGUAACUAAAAAACCAAAGAGGCUGCUUGGUUAGGAUUAUUGGUAUGAGGAGGAGAAG
rnacentral:lncRNA from 1 species